AUGAAGGGCGCGUCCGUCCCCGCGGUUGUGGGCAUGCCUUCGCCGCUCUUUCUUUGGCGGUUUAAGGCUAUAUUGUUUCUCCUAUGGGGUUUAUGCUGUUGUAAGAUAGGGUGGGACUCGGUUAUGAGGAUGAGUGCUGAUCUGCGAGAUUUAUUUCUGUAUGAGGUUUUCUUAUACUAUAAUCCUCUCUUUCUUGUGGCACUUAUGAUUUGGUUAUGGGGAGUGAAUUUGUGGGUCUUUGCACAAUCAUCAGUGAAUUAUGUAAAGGUGUUUGAUCUUGCGCAAACACAUUUAUCACACCGAGAAAUUUGGAGGUGUGCUACUUGGCUUACUUUAAUUGUUCCCACAAGUAUGACAGCUUACCUAUACCUGUACUCACAUGGGGAAGUGUCACUUGCUGCUUCUCAACCAGUUCUGUUGUAUGCUAUCCUUUUGAUAGUCCUCCUUUCUCCGUUUGAUAUGUUUUAUUUAUCAUCGCGCUUUUACUUCCUGAGGACAAUGUUGCGUAUAAUACUUCCAUUGCAAGCAAUUACAUUCCCCGACUUCUUUUUGGCUGAUAUUUUUACAUCCAUGUCAAAGGUGUUCUCAGAUUUGGAACGUUCAGUUUGUCGCAUGGUCAAUCGUCAGGUGGCGACAAUCGCUUGGUUUGAAGCUGAUUCAAUUUGUGGUAGCCACUCUAUAGCUAUUCCUCUAGUCCUCGUGCUCCCUUAUUUGUGUCGUUUCUUCCAAUGCCUUCGACAGUACAAGGAUACAAAGGAGAAGAGUUGUCUUCUGAACGCACUCAAGUACUCGACAGCAGUCCCGGUGAUUUUUUUAUCGGCGCUCAAGUAUCAUGUAUUCCCUGACCAGUGGGUUAGCUUUUACCGGCCCCUCUGGCUUAUUUCGGGGGUUAUAAAUUCGCUGUAUUCCUUCUACUGGGAUAUAAAGCGUGAUUGGGAUUUGAGCAUUUUAACCAGGAUUUUCAUGUUCAAAAGCCCAAGCACAUGGACAAGCCUUCUUUAUGGGCGGAACUGGGUGUAUUACUGGGUGUUAGGCAGCAAUCUCAUUCUCCGCUGCACAUGGACAUACAAGCUGUCGGCGCAUCUUCGGCACAACUACCUCACAGUGUUUGCGAUAACAGCUUUGGAAAUGCUGAGGCGGUUUCAGUGGGUUUUCUUCCGCGUGGAGAAUGAGUGGAACAAGAUGACAGCCAAGCAAAAUUUUGAAAUGUCAUCCGAUAUGCCCUCAGAAUCAGACAGGCUACUGGAGUCUAAUAGUCACACAGGCUCAGAAGGUCAGGGAUACACACCAGUAGGUUUGUAG
rnacentral:rRNA from 1 species